rnacentral:rRNA from 1 species
GACGAACGCUGGCGGCGUGCCUAAUACAUGCAAGUAGAACGCUGAAGGAGGAGCUUGCUUCUCUGGAUGAGUUGCGAACGGGUGAGUAACGCGUAGGUAACCUGCCUGGUAGCGGGGGAUAACUAUUGGAAACGAUAGCUAAUACCGCAUAAGAGUAGAUGUCGCAUGACAUUUGCUUAAAAGGUGCACUUGCAUCACUACCAGAUGGCCCUGCGUUGUAUUAGCUAGUUGGUGAGGUAACGGCUCACCAAGGCAACGAUACAUAGCCGACCUGAGAGGGUGAGCGGCCAAGCUGGGAUGGAGACACGGCCCAGACCACUGCGGGAGGGAGCAGGAGGGGAUCUUUGGCAAAGGACGGAAGGCUGACCGAGCAACGCCGCGCGAGAGAAGAAGGUUGUCGGAUCGUAAAGCUCAGUUGGAAGAGAAGAACGAGAGUGAGAGUGGAAAGUUCACAUUGUGACGGUAUCUUACCAGAAAGGGACGGCUAACUACGUG